rnacentral:rRNA from 1 species
CACGUAGUUAGCCGGUGCUUAUUCUUUAGGUACCGUCAGCAAAAAGUGGUAUUAACACUUUCCUUUUCUUCCCUAACAAAAGUCCUUUACAACCCGAAGGCCUUCUUCAGACACGCGGCAUGGCUGGAUCAGGGUUGCCCCCAUUGUCCAAAAUUCCCCACUGCUGCCUCCCGUAGGAGUCUGGGCCGUGUCUCAGUCCCAGUGUGGCGGAUCGUCCUCUCAGACCCGCUACUGAUCGUCGCCUUGGUGGGCCUUUACCCCGCCAACUAGCUAAUCAGUCAUUGGCCGCUCGGAUAACGCGAGGCCCGUAGGUCCCCCGCUUUCCUCCUCAGAGCGUAUGCGGUAUUAGCCGGCCUUUCGGCCGGUUGUCCCCCAUUACCCGGUACGUUCCAAUGUGUUACUCACCCGUUCGCCACUCGCCGGCAGUAGUGCAAGCACUACCCCGCUGCCGUCCGACUUGCAUGUGUAAAGCAUGCCGCAGCGUUCAAUCUGAGCCAGGAUCAAACUCU